UACGGAGGGUGCAAGCGUUAUCCGGAUUCACUGGGUUUAAAGGGAGCGUAGGUGGGUUGGUAAGUCAGUGGUGAAAUCUCCGAGCUUAACUUGGAAACUGCCAUUGAUACUAUCAAUCUUGAAUACUGUGGAGGUAAGCGGAAUAUAUCAUGUAGCGGUGAAAAUGCUUAGAUAUGAUAUAGAACACCAAUAGCGAAGGCAGCUUACUACGCAAGUUAUUGACACUGAGGCUCGAAAGCGUGGGGAUCAAACAGG
rnacentral:rRNA from 1 species